GUAGCGCUGGCUGGAAGCGAUGAGUGGCAGCUGGAGGGAGAGGCCAGUCCGUCACUGGAUGGUGUCCUGAGUGCAGAGCAGGGACCGAGGCACUGGUGGAUGUGGCCCAUCCUUCUCUCUGCUUAGUCAACCGAGUGUUGAACAUGAAACACCUGAGGUCAGAUUUGCAGAAGUGCUGAGCACUCACAACUUCACCUGAAGUCAAUUGACACUGUAUUUUGAGCAUAUAAUGUCCUAUUAAAAUGGUUCUCAAAAGCAACUAAACAGUUUGGACUCACCAUCAGCCUGGAAAAAACAAAGUCCUCUUCCAAACAGUCCCAUCAACCACUAUCACAGAGCAAACGUCACCAUUGAUAGUACAAAACUAAUGCACAUCAAUCACUUUACAUACCUUGGCAGUACCAUCUCAAGUGACAGUUCCUUGGAUCAAGAAAUAUCAAAUAGAAUCUAAAAGGCAAGCCUGGCUUUUGGAAGACUUCGCUAUAGGAUACUCAGCUGUAUACCAACAAACUGUCAAUAAAACUGAGGUACAAUUCAGCUGUCAGAGCAUCUCUUUUAUACAGACGUGAAACAUGGAUAGUUUACCCCAGACACAUCAAACAACUUGAAAAAUUUCACAUGUGCUGUCUUUGCUUUGUUUUGAAGGUCCAUAAGUGUAAAUCAUUAUCAUCCUGGAAAGAACAAAACCAACCAGCAUUGAGGCAAUGAUCAGGAAAGCUCAGCUUAGAUGGACAGGUCAUGUUAUCAGAAUGGGUGGUGAUUGAGUCCCACAAAAAGUCCUCUAUGGUAAGCUGAAACUCAGACAGCACAGAAAUAGUGGUCAACAUAAACACUUGAAAGAUACCCUUAAGUAGAAUCUCAACUUGCUCACGUGACAUGGAUAUAGAUAACCUUGAAGACACAGCCCAGGACAGAACAGAAUGGAGAGCAACUAUCAAUAAAGAAUAUAAACACUUUGGGAAAGACAGACAUGAAAAAAUGAUUGAAAAAAGGGCUAAGCGCUAUGUCAAGUCUUCAACAGGAGCCUACACAUGCCUACAUAUGUAUUACUAUAUGUGAGAUGCUGUGAUGUCAUUGUUAGGUAUGAUGGACAGGUGUACAAUGUUGCUUAUUAUGGGUAAAAUUUUCAAACGUGCCCAAGUGACUUGGAAGACGUAGGAUAUGUCUACGUGCGCAGGUGCUGACUCCGUGGGUGCUCUGCAGGGCAGGAGUCCUGGGGGCGGGGCCGGGCCACAACCCCCUCGUGGGGUGAGGAGGGAACUGGUUGUUAAGAUUUUGGCAGCUCAUCACUGGGUGUUACCAUACACACUGUAACAAGAGUGAUCAGGUAAGGUGAGCUAUUACCAGCAGGAGAGCGGGGGCAGGGGAGGGGAUUUGUAGUGAUAAUCAAGGUGGGCCAUUUCCAGCAGUUGACAAGAAUAUGUGAGGAACAGUAGUGGGGGGGAAUAAACAUGGGGAAAUAGUUUUACUUUGUGUAAUCACCCAUCCACUCCCAGGCUCUAUUCAAGCCUAAGUUAAUUGUAUCCAGUUUGCAAAUUAGUUCCAAUUCAGCAGUCUCUCAUUGGAGUCUGUUUUUGAAGUUUUUUUGUUGAAGAAUUGCCACUUUUAGGUCUGUAAUCAAGUGACCAGAGAGAUUGAAGUGUUCUCCAACUGGUUUUUGAAUGUUAUAAUUCUUGACAUCUGAUUUGUGUCCAUUUAUUCUUUUACAUAGAGACUGUCCAGUUUGGCCAAUGUACAUGGCAGAGGGGCAUUGCUGGCACAUGAUGGCACAUUGGUAGAUGUGCAGGUGAACGAGCCUCUGAUAGUGUGGCUGAUGUGAUUAGGCCCUAUGAUGGUGUCCCCUGAAUAGAUAUGUGGACACAGUUGGCAACGGGCUUUGUUGCAAGGAUAGGUUCCUGGGUUAGUGUUUUUGUUGUGAAGUGUGUGGUUGCUGGUGAGUAUUUGCUUCAGGUUGGGGGGCUGUCUGUAAGCAAGGACUGGCCUGUCUCUCAAGUUCUGUGAGAGUGAUGGGUCGUCCUUCAGGAUAGGUUGUAGAUCCUUGAUGAUGCGUUGGAGAGGUUUUAGUUGGGGGCUGAAGGUGAUGGCUAGUUGCGUUCUGUUAUUUUCUUUGUUGGGCCUGUCCUGUAAUAGGUAACUUUUGGGUACUCUUCUGGCUUUGUCACUCUCGUUACAGUGUGUACGGUAACACCCAUUGUUUCAUGUUCUCUGUGUAUAUAAAAUCUCCCCACUGUAUUUUCCACUGCAUGCAUCCGCUGAAG